UUUCGGUGAUUUGUUUAAUGCUUUUUCGGUCUUCACUGAUGCCGUCACCAUUUUUUGAGUUAAUAACUUAUUUGGAUGGUACAUAACUCUCCAAACCCAGUGGCCAAGUGGGAAUGAUGAAGAGCUAAGCAAAGAUUUCUAAGACUUUUCCAACCUCGGGAUUGAGCAUUUCCCGAUGAGGCUUGGCCAGCAAGAGGUUGCCCCCAGUGUUCUUAUCUACAGGGCAGAUUGCAGAUCCUCUCUCCAGAGUUGUGGCCAGGGAUCCAAGCACACCUAAACAUUAGGGCGAGGGUCAUCAGGAUCUACUCAAAGGAAAUUAAAAGGUGGCAAAGUGAGUCCCACUAAUUUCUCCACAAGUCAUAGCAGUCGAUUAUGUGGGAAUAUUGUAGUGCCGAAUGGAGGCUUAACAGUACGAGAUCCAACAACUGGAGCUCACUUUGUUCAGAUUCAGUUGUUACAGGAUGAUCCCCCGGGCGAUGGAGAUUCACCAUUUCAGCUUAGCUCUCAGUCUUCCACAACACAUUCUCAGCUUACUGUGGAUUUACCAGUACAUAUACUUCAGGAGCCACAUACUUCAACCGAGGACGAUGCUGGUUCUGAUAACUCACAGUUCACAGGAAGCACAAUAAAUUUACAGGACCUAGAAUGAGACUAUUAAUAUUACUUUGGGGGCGGGGAGGGAUGCAAAGAGUGCAAUCAUGCUAUGGAAAAUGGAAAAGGAUGUUUCCAGAGCUUAAUUUUUAAAGAAAAUGUGAAAAAAAAAUGGAGCUAACGCAUCUUAUUUUAUGGUUCCACACAAAGAGUUCCUUCGGAAGACUCUUUGAUGUAUCAAUAGAUGUUGUUUGCCUUCUGUUUGGACUGUUAGGAAAGAGUCCUUGGGUUGGGUUGGGUUGUAUGAAGCUGCCUUGCAGAAUAGAAGGGCUAUGAUAAAAAUAAGCACUUUGAUCCAGUAAUUUAUACCAUUUGGUUUGUGAACCUGCCUUUCCAUUGUCGAACUUGUCACAAAUGACUCCUUAAAUAAGGAUUCUUGGGAGGGGGACAAAGAUUGAGGCUGGUCAGUAAAUGUGAGAUCAGUCAUCUGACCAUUCUCUGGGCACUUAGACUAGAAGGGAGGAAGGUGCCCUGAUGGGGACCUGGCACUUGUUGAGCUGAGGGAAUGGAUUGUCCUCUGAGAGUGCCGAGACAGAAUCCCAGACUCUGGAUGAGCAUCCUCUCUUUGGAUGCCCUUGGGCUGGCACAAUCCCAGCACUUGGACUAGGGAGGAUUAGAACUGGGAGAGAUCUGAGAAGCCGUCUUAACAAGGCCCUUAUUUAUAGAGGAAAUUGGGGCUCCGAGGGGGUCACAGCAGCAUUUGAACCUAUAUGUCUUCCUGAUUCCAAGUCCAGCUCUGUGUCCACUCUGCUGCACUGCCCUCGUCCAACACGGCAUCAGUCUGGCUGUUGCGUAAGACAGUCUUGGUUAGCCUCCCAAGGAGGUGAAGGUGGGAGCCUCGAUGUCGUGAUGUCAAGGAUUUCUGUCUGGAGGGGCUCUUCACCAGCCCAGGCCCCGUCUCUGUUUCUCAUCUCAGAGCCGUUUGGGCGAGAUUGCGAUGCUUCCACACUGGCCGCUCCACAUUACCUCCAGCCCUGGUGUGUGAGCAGGCAGGACUUCCCUUCGGUAUGCAUCAGCCUGUUUGGAACAAGAGGAAAAAGCAGGAUGAUGGAGUGCGUAUUGGAGUGGGUUUCUGGCCAUCUUGGUAUUCACACCCCAUAUAAAAUUUGGGCCAUAGAGUUUACCUUUUAAAAAAUUAAAUUUUACAUUUGGGUAUUUACAUUUGUUGGUCACUUGACAAUAGUUUUUAAAGUGUGUCCUGAAUGCCUAUAAAAUUAUGUAUAGGAUUUAAUAAUGGUAUGGCUUGUAUACCUUUCCUGUUGUGAGGUCUAAAAGAUGUGCUUUGUAUAUUAUGUAUAAAUAGUAUUUUUUACAAAGGAAGCCUUGUCAUACAAAAGGACAUGAAUUUAUAACCUUGCACAUAUUUAUUUGUUAUUUACUGUUACGGAAUUCACACAGGGUCGUUCAGAAAUGCUUUUUUUUUUCUUGUGCCUUUGGAAGUCUAUGCUUGUGUAAAGAUGCUGUUUUGUUUCUCGGAACUGAAAGGAAUACAGAUUCCUCCUACUCUGCAUUUCUUGAAUUUUUAGAAUUGUGCUCUUUGGAGCAAUUCCAGCAAUCCACUGCAAGUCCUCAUCUGCUCUGCUGUCAGCACUUCCCGAAACCCUCUCUGAGCCAGUUCCAGGUGGGGCUGUCGCCCUCGUGCACCUCUUCCUUACAGGCACUCCGUGUUGCCUCCCUGGCCGCUGGCCGCUGCCGGUGUGGCCAGAGAACAUUCUGCUCCCUCUCCUCUACGAGCCCGGGUUCCUUCGUGCCCUGUCAGGAUGCUCCCCUUGGUAGGCUUGUGGCUGUGGCUUACAGGAUGGGUGUAUGUUGCUAACAUGAGACACGUAUUGCUAGUGGUCAGAUUUUUCUUGGCUUUGAGGUUCAUUGCUGGCAAUGGACGUAGCCCCUAGUGCAGAUGAAUUAAUAAAGCCUUUUUAAAAAAUGGUCUUGCACUUGCAGUUUUACAUGACUCAGUACAAGGAACUAUGACUCUUGGGGCUUGAAAAAUAUAUCUGCCCAGAAUCGGGAAUCUUUCCUAUUCAUUGACUCUUCCUCUGAUGCCUUUCCUCCUUGAAUAGCUGUAGCUUAAGGCAUCAUUUCUGUUCUUUCCUCGCUGCUUUUACAGAACGCUUGGAAAUGGUGGCUUUAUUACAGAGGAGGAAGAAAGGACCCCAGAUUUUAUAACAGAAUCUCAGCUUCUUUAAAGG
ensembl:lncRNA